rnacentral:rRNA from 1 species
AUGGCAGCAUCCCCGCCGGCGAUCCUGGACGAGCUCUUCGAAGAGAUCCUCCUCCGCCUCCCGCCCGACGACCCGGCCUGCCUCCUCCGCGCCUCCCUCGUCUGCAAGGACUGGGGUUGCGCCGUCUCCCGCCCCCACUUCCGCCGCCGCCUCCACGAGCUCCACCGGGCGCCCCCGGUGCUCGGCCUCCUCCACGACCUGGAAUGCGAGCGCGUCCCACGAUUCAUCCCCACCACCGCGUCGUCCUUCUCCCUCGCCGCUCCGGACGGCCGGUUCUGGCGGACCCUCGACUGCCGCCACGGCCGCGCCCUCUUCCUCUCCAACCCCCAGUCCCCGGAAACUCAGGAGCUUCUCGUGUGGGAGCCAAUCACGGGUGCCCAGCAGCGCAUAACGGUGCCCGCGGCGCUCCAGAGCAACUUCCCCAUGGCGGCCGUCUUCUGCGCGGCGGACGGGUGCGACCACCGCGCCUGCCUCGGGGGCCCUUUCCGCGUGCUCUUCAUCCUCUCGGUCGUGGUAGGCCAAGUCACUGACGACGGCUGCUAUCUCACGUCGGCGUGUGCAUACUCGUCGGAGACUGGCACCUGGGGCGAGCCGACCUCGUUGCCCCGCCGCUCGCCCAUGCCCAUGAUCUUUACAUUUUAUUCCAGUGUGCUCGUUGGAAAGUCUCUGCUCUACUUCAUGUCUGAUGAUGGAUUCAUUCUAGAGUGUGACUUGGCAAGGCACAGACUGGCUGUGUUCAACCCACCAAACCAUGAGCUGGUCUGCGGCCAAUAUACCAUCAUGCUCGCCGAGGACGGUGGACUGGGAGUUUGCCAAAGGUUGAAUCAGCAGCUCAAAUUGUGGUCAAGGGAGGUGAGUGACAGGGCUGAUGCACGAUGGAUGCUGAGCCGGGUCGUCUACCUGGAAAAUUUGCUCCCAGUUGGUGCUCUUGUGGAUGCAGAGACCAGAGUGCAAGUGCUGGGCUUUGCCGAGGGAGCAAAUACCAUUUUCCUGACCACGGUUGAUGGCAUCUUCAUGAUCGAACUGCAAUCAGAGCGGGCGAGGAGGGUGUGCGGUGAUCAUCUCUUUUGUUAUUUGAUUCCAGUUGUCAGCUUCUACACUCCUGUGCCUCGAGGUGAGCACAGGGAUCCGUCGUUGAAGCAUAGUGAGGAUUCAGGUGGUGGGGAGCAAGGAGGGGAGGAGAAAACAGAGGAACACCAAUUGAUCAACGAAAUGAGUCAAAUGUUACCAAGGGGGACUUUGUCAACGCUUUCGAUUGCAUCAACCACGCCAUAG